UUUUUAGAAAUUCCAAUUCAAAAACCGCUUUUUAUAGUUUAAAUAAAUUGAGUAGAUUCAUUAAGGUUCAAAAAGAUACUCUUCCAAUUUCUUCCUGUAAGGACGUUGUUUACAAGAUCUCAUGUCGUGAUUGCGAUGCGUCUUAUGUCGGACAAACUGGCAGACAAGUUAAAACCCGCAUUUCAGAACACCGUAACCAUAUUCGCAGAAACGUCUCUUCUCAGUCCGUUAUCACUGACCACAGGAUUGAGUGCGGUCAUGAUUUCGACUGGGAUGGCGUUAAGGUUCUCGAUCAUGAGAAAUUUUAUCAUAAGCGACUGAUUUCUGAAAUUUUAUACAUUAAACAACAAUGUAACGGGCUCAAUUUACAAUCUGACACGGAUUUCUUACACCACGCAUAUUUAUCUAUUGUCGACAGUUUAUAGCUUGUUUUGCUAUCUAUUUAUCCUCAUCUGUAUGUUUGUUUAUCUCUCCGGAUAUCUGUUCGUACCGGCAGCACCAGUCCCCUUCUCAUUUCAAGUUUGACCGUUGUACAGACAAGACGUUCUCGAUUUGUCUCAAUUUCAAUUACUUAUUUAUUUACGCCUUUUGACAUGUGGUUAUUUGCGCUGACAAAAUUCUUUUGUACAUGGACAACUACUGACGUUGAGUCCGAAUCAUGUUCCGAUUUUCGAGCCUAACAACUCGUAUAAGCGUUACAUCUUCCGGAUGAGGAAGCCCUUCACCUCAACCUCAGCUGCGCCUUCGAAUUGUUACUGAAGAUGGCUCGAAGAAUGAGCCGAAACGUUUAAUAAUAAAUUAUGUAUAUCUGAAA